AUCCGACUAAUUCCGGGUUCGAGUCCCGGGCAACCCA
rnacentral:tRNA from 1 species